rnacentral:rRNA from 1 species
GUAGGUGGCAGGCGUUGUCCCGGAAUUAUUGGGGCGUAAAGCGCGCGCAGGGCGGUCCUUUAAGUCUGAUGUGAAAGCCCACGGCUCAACCGUGGAGGGUCAUUGGAAACUGGGGGACUUGAGUACAGAAGAGGAAAGCGGAAUUCCAAGUGUAGCGGUGAAAUGCGUAGAGAUUUGGAGGAACACCAGUGGCGAAGGCGGCUUUCUGGUCUGUAACUGACGCUGAGGCGCGAAAGCGUGGGGAGCAAACAGGAUUAGAUACCCUGGUAGUCCACGCCGUAAACGAUGAGUGCUAAGUGUUAGGGGGUUUCCGCCCCUUAGUGCUGCAGCUAACGCAUCAAGCACUCCGCCUGGGGAGUACGGCCGCAAGGCUA